UCCAGCAUCAACUAGAGAACUUCUAGCAGCAUUUGGAGAGCAUCACGCGUCCACUUGGAGAAAUAAAGAUUGUGCAUCCUACUUGCAAUAUCCACAUCUCCACGGCCUAGGCAGCUUACACGUCCAACACGGUCUGAUCCUACAGCACAUGAUAAUUUGGAGAAGUGCGGCCCAGCUUGCUAAAAGAGCAACAUCCGUCCAGCAGCUUCAUUUCAUGCUGCAGCCUUUCAUCACGGUCACAGGUCCAGCAACUUGGCAGCGUCACACAGCAGCAUCCAGCUUCAC
rnacentral:lncRNA from 1 species